UGCUGUGAGUUCCUUCCUCCUGCUGUGCGUCUGACUGUGGUGUGGGCUGUUAACAAUGUCCUAACCUUCAGUUACUCUGAAUUUAAGGAAAUGAAUGUUCCCCACGUGCGCUGGUAGUGUUUCAGAGGUGGAGGAGAGCAGAGUGCUUUAUUUCUUCCGAUGGAGCUGCUCAGCCCAGAGGAUGCCCUUCUUCUUGAAAAGGGCAUUUCAGAGCUCCCGGCCAUUAUUGCAGCAUCUGAAGGAAGCACAGAAGAGACUUUUAUGUGGAGCUACAAACCAGCCGGUCACCUGGAGUGUGUAGGGGUUGUGUUUUGGAAUCCAAGUAAACAGAGUGUGGGAUUCUGUUGCUCAUGUGUGGCUACAGGAAAAGCUCUGAUUAAUUCCCAUUUAGCCUAACACAAGAUGAAAGACAAGGACUCCGUAUAGUAAGGGCUCAGGGGCUGGAAGCACUCUCCGGCUUUUCAACCCCAUUUCUCAUGGUGGCUGUGGCAUCAGCAUCUGCAGGAAUUCCAGCAGUCACUCCAAAC